UGCAGCUGCUUUUGUAAGUCGCUCUGGAUAAGAGUGUCUGCUAAAUGACUAAAA
rfam:Salmo salar isolate Sally breed double haploid chromosome ssa29, whole genome shotgun sequence.